AAGCUCAGGGCCUCUUGAAUCGUCCUUCAUUUAAAUUCAUUUGAUAUAUACAAAAAUUUCACCAUUUUAAUUUACUCAAAACCCUACAAAGCCCUGCUAAACCCUACAAGCAACCGCCUCUAUUCACGGAAAAUUCGAAGCUUUUUCAUGUCUUUCUUAUAAUUUUCCUCUAAUUUCCUUCUCUCUAAACGGCCACGAUGAACUCGCUUCGUCGAGCAGUCAAACAAAUCGCGUAUUCACAGACCACAACAAAACGCACCGUUUUAUGUGCGUCGGUCACGGCUCUUCUUGCUCAAUCUUACUCCACUAAAGAGACGAGAAACUUCAAAGUAGCAGCGCCAGAAGUGUGGCCGCGGCCGAGUGAAAUUCCGUUUCAAGUGAAGGUGGCCAACUCGGUGACCUUGAUUGGUCACGUGGACUCGUCGGUUCAGUUUGAGACUUCUUCCGAUGGCAAGCAUUGGGCUGGCACUGUGAUCACUCAGCGCGCCAGUCCUCUUUCUCCCCAACUUUGGAUUCCUGUAGUAUUUGAAGGUGAUUUGGCUCACAUUGCUGCUUGUCAUUUGAAGAAAGAUGAUCAUGUACAUAUAGCCGGGCAACUCAUGGCUGAUCCACCUUCUUCUCUUGCAACUCAUAGUGCCAAUGUCCAGGUUAUGGCCCAUAGUGUCAAUUUUGUUGAGGUAUCUUAUGAAAAAGGGAGACCUUUUUCAUCUCAAAAACUAGAAGAGGAUCCCACAAAUCAUUCAGCCAGCACAAAGAACAAUGGUAAUUCAGCUUCAAGUCCCUGGCAUCAUCUUCUUAAUAAUCCAGAACUGUGGUGGGAUUACCGUAGUCAGAAGCUCAGUGGAUUGGUAAAUUCAAGACACCCUGACUUUAAACGCAAGGAUGGUGGCCUUGCACUCUGGCUUGAGAGGGCAUCACAGUGGGUUUUGUCUCAACUUGACGGAAUGGAGUUUGAUGUUCAAACUCCUAAACAAAAAAAUGUGAAGGAAGGGAAGCCCUAUUCAUCUCAAAAACAAGAAGAGGGAACUGCGGAUCAUUCAGCCAUUCCAAAGAACAAUGGUAAUUCAGCUUCAAGUCACUGGCAUCAUAUUCUUAAUAAUCCAGAACUGUGGUGGGAUUACCGUAGUCAGAAGCUCAGUGGAUUGGUAAAUUCAAGACACCCUGACUUUAAACGCAAGGAUGGUGGCCUUGCGCUCUGGCUUAAUAGGGAAUCAGAGUGGGUUUUAUCUCAACUUGACGGAGUGGAGUUUGAUGUUCAAACUCCUAAACAAAAAAAUGCGAAGGAAGGGGACAAGUUGUGGAAAGACUUGACAGAAAAUCCAAAAAAGUGGUGGGAUAAUAGAUUGGAAAAGAAGAACAAAAAAUCUCCUGACUUUAAGCACAAGGACUCUGGUGAAGGAUUAUGGCUUGGUGAUGCACCAGACUGGGUGCUAAAAAUGUUGCCUGAUCCUGUAAAUAGUAAAAAAGAUGCAACUUGGGGCAAGAGUGAUACGCUGCAGUCUUGACCCAUAUCAAAAUGAACAUAUUUGAUUUGCAGGGACUUAAAGGAGGAAUUUUGGGAGUUUCUUCUAAGUUUUCUAACUAUUCCUCUGAAGGUGGGGUUCCCCUGUUACUUGCUUCUCAUUUUCUUGGCCUUCCUUACAGCAAUAUUAGGAUCCGAUUACUCACUUAUUUGGGAAAGGAUCGAUUAUGUGGCUUGGUUGGGUUAUAUUAUUUCAUGCCUGGUUUCAGUAUGAAAUUCUGCAUGCAGCCCGAAAUAUUUAAAUGAAGUGAGUUUGAACAUCACAAAUGAAGCUCAAAUGGGACUGUUCGAAGCCAAAAUUCGGGCUAGACUUGAACAUGCACAAGGCUUGAAUAAAUGUAAACGUCUUAUUUUAGGAAGGUAGCAAAAAAUUAUAUUUUUUU